GGACGACGAAUGAAAAAGUAUUUCCAGAAUCAUAUCGAGUAUCGAAAAAAUAGGUCAGACGACUGCUGGUUCUUUAGCAGGAGAAGUCUGCAAAUGCUCAAGUGAGUCCGUUCUGUGAAUUGAUGGGGCCAGGUGAAAGCUGGGGCAUGAAUGGGGUGCAAAGCGCAAAUUUUUCUCUUGGAAUUGACGUUGCAGAAGAAUGAGAUUCUCAGUGACCCGUGGACUUGUUUCUUGUGGCGUGAUCACGCUUUCAUUACAACCAACCGAACCCUGUUACCUUCAUUUGUUUCUUUAUGUGUUUUUUAUUUUUUUGGGUUCCAUGGAAUCGGUGAAUGCAGAGGAAAAGGAAACCUCGGACUCACUCAACGCUGCCAAAUGCCGAUGUCCGCAUCUAUCUUGGGGGCACUUCAUCGUCGUUACGGGCAAAAGUGCGCGUGACUGUUUUGGGAUGUCUGUCUGUGCAGAACUACGUGUUGCAUGGCUUGAUCAAAUGGGUACUGGAAAAUUUGAUUUUUUUCUGGAGUCAAUGUCGGGAAAUCAAUAGCUUGACAGCUAGCGUUGUGUGCGUGAUAGGUCUUCUACAUUGAGUUUGAGCUCCAUGCGAGUAACUUCGGAAAAAAAAAGGGUGAAAUUUCGGUUGCUAGCGAAUCUAUGUUCAAGGCUCGUUUUUGGGGACCCUAAAGGAUGUCUAGGAGAAAUAGAACUUGGUUGCAGGGUACUCUCUGGGUUUUCUCAUCCCAACCGGACAAGCUAUCAUGGCACGAUUCCAAAGCAGCGGGAGAGAAACUGAGUUGGUUACUAGAUAGAUACCUAAAGUAUCUCAGGAUCCUGUUGGCUGAUUAGGUCUUUUGGAAAUCACUUCCACCAUAGGUAGUUAUGACAAGCUAUUCUGGCAAAAAUGAGAAUAGUCAUGGUGAUUCUACCUGCUUUUGAGUAGUAACUGGUAGCCUUUUCCACCCAGCCAGUAUCAUGACAACCUCAACGACAAUAUAUAAGCAACAUGGGGUUGGUUCGCAAAGUGAUACCAACCACUUGAGCCUGGAGGAUGAAUAACAUUGCUUUGCAGAGUGUAAGCAAGCAAGAUCACUCUGAUGUUGACAGAGCCUACAGUCUAUGAUGAAAACAACAGACAUGUCUCAGUUCAUUCUGAGCAUAUUAUCCAAAUUAAAUAGCCAGUUUCAAAGCACCAGCAUUGGUUUGCAGAGUUUAAGCAAGCAAGAUCACUCUGAUGUUGACAGAGUCUACAGUAUAUGAUGAAAACAACAGACAAAUCUCAGUUCAUCUGAGCUUAUUAUCCAAAUUAAAUAUGCAAAGCACCACCAAGAUUGUGAAGUCCUCUCCAAAACAGAACUGAAUAAGUUUCUCCAAAUGUGCCAUUGAGACUUUAAAAGAACGGAGCUCUUUGAGGCUUCCCUUUUCUUCGGUGCGGUGCUUUGCUGGGUUGAGAAGCUUUACUUUGUUUUUCCUCUGUUGGAGCUUGGACAGAAUGAUGUGGAGGCUCCUGGUCUUUGGCUUUUCUCGAAAAAGCCAUAACCUGAAGUUUUAAUUUCUUCAAUGUAAUGCACAUGGGAUUAAGCCAAGCAUAUUCUAAUUGACCAGUAUUUCUGCCAUGGUUACCUUGCAAGAAAUGGAGCAGUAAUCAUAAAGGUCAGGGUCCGAUAAUCUUCUCUUGCAGAUCUCACAGGAUGUCUUACCAUUUGAUGCUGUUGGACCACUAUGGGGAAGAGGGUUCAGGGCUAUUACCAUUCUCUUGUUGGACUUAUAUGGCUGAAACUUGGAAGACAACAAGGGUACAUAGGAGGAACCUGUAUUCUGGAGCAAUCAAUAUGCUUUUCGAUGGAGGAGAGGGAGACAACAUCCUUGUAGACAUGUCUGUAGAUUUUAAGUAUCUUGUGUUGGCGAUGACUUCCUGAAGAGAUGCAGUACUGACAAGCAGAUGAAUCACAGUUGAUGCAAUAUUUAUUUAACUCAUUCCUACGAAUUGGGUGCACCGAACAUGAUUCGAAGAAAGUCUUCUGGAGGAAAGAGUCAAGCCAUUCUGGCUCUUGCUUCUUGUGAUGGUUUUCAUUAUCAGCCUGCUAAGAAGAACAGUUGAUUAGACUAUGUACAUUCAACUUUACCCCUUUCUCUCCCUCGUAGAAUUUGAUACAACAAACAGUCCAAUCAAAAAUUAGAAUCUAUACAAAUGCUAUUGGGACAGAGGAACUUAAAUAUGAACUGAAAGAAAUCUAUCAACAAUUUGAAGGAUACCAAAACUUAUGUUCUGGAUAAAAAGCAUGGAUGGGAAGCUGGAGCUUAGGAUCUUAUUGAAUAAAAGAAUGGCUAACAUUUUCAGGGGAUCAAUCCAUUUUAUGGGGUAGUCAGCUCAAAACCUAUCUAGAGAUUAUGUUUGUUAUGUCUCACUCUUCUUACUACGUUAGUGCUAUCAUUCAUUAAAAAUUCAUCUUCCUUCUAUCUUGAUUUACUUAUAUUCUUUCUUUUUUGUCUAUUUGAUAUGGCCUAAUGAGAAUCUAAUUCCACUUCCCCCAACUGUUAUACCUUUUUCAUUGGCCUACUUAAAUCGUUGCCGGUAUAGGUUUUUUUGCAACCUGAGAGAUUAUAAAGAGGGUCUACAGGAUAUGAAAUUAAUACGUCCACUGAAGAAAACUCCUCAUCCAGCAAACUAUGUUACUAAUGACAAUGAGAUAUGCUAAAAGAAAGCUCUUUUCUACUAUAUAGUGGUCGUAUAUAGAGAAGUGGGCAUAUCAUCGACUAUCUGACAAGCUCCAUUCCGAGAAAAACGACAACUCUUGUUUUUUACGGUUACAUGAUGCAAAGAUAUUGAAACAUAUGCUCAUAAGAACAAUAACAGAUAUACACUGAAACUAAAGCCGUGUAAAUUUUUUGACUCAAUAGUAGGAAGACAGAAUCUGAGGUUGCAUAUGUGAUAAUAUCUGAUUUGUAUUUCACAUAGAAAGUAAUCUCUACGGCAUGCUCAUAAAUUUAAGUCAUGUCACAAGGCGCCGGGAAUACACGUUGUAUUUGGAGUCUUAGCCAUUUCAGAUUCAGGUAUCUGUUUGAUCUAAUCAUUUGUCCUUUGCAGAAGAGAAAAAUCUAAUCUCUUAUGUCCUAUUUCGCACUAGUUUUAACGGUACUAAGCACUUUUUAUCCUAUAUCUUUGUGCAGAUACAAUGAUUUCUUGUGAUAUUAUGAGAAUCUUACAGGAGAGAUCCUGGAAUGGAACUUCUGUAUGCCUGAUCGUUUAAUGACAAAAGCAAGGUACAUGUCACUAACUUCAAGGUCAUUUUUGGCGAGUGAAAUUAAUCUCAUGUGAAAAUAUUACAUGACGACAAAGAGGUCAGUAUACGUACUGUUUCUUUUGGUCCAAAAGUCUGAGGUAGUUUAUCGACUCAACUGUGCAAAAGAAUGAAUUUUUAUUUCUGAUAGCCACAGAUCUUACUCCUUUUUUUUUUUUUUCAUUUUUUGCACUUUAACUCUUAUCUGUUGUGGAGAGUAGGAAGUAGUCAAAAUAAAUUGAUAGAUUAGUUCUUCCGUGACCUAAUCUCGUUUAUGCUACACAAUAAAAAAUUGACUGCACUUAAAGAAUGAGAUCAAGGAGCCUUAAGGAAUGAUCUGAUGCUACAAAGCAGUUGAAGGUAAGUAAUGAAAGAUUUCAUGUAUAUAGGAGAGAAAAUAUCAAAAGCAUUAGCUGUCUCACACAUAUUGCACUAAUUGAGAAGGAGGAAGACUUGCCAUUUUUCUUGUCAGAACAAAAUCAGUCCUGGAUCUUAGGGUGUUGCAGAAAUGGAAGCGUUGGCCCAGAAAUUGAAGAAGAAUCGUGCAAGGGAUCACGAAGACGAUACCAAGCGCAUGAUUGUAUACACUAUCAGGAAGACGAGAGUAGAAACGGGAAUUAUCGAUGAAAUAAAAUUGUAUAUAGCGGACUUGGCGAUGGAACCAAGGCAAGUAAUACUCUGGAUUUCUUUCUCCUUUAUCCAUCAGUAAUUAACUUGCAUUGUUAAGAGACAUCUGUUAGUUUCAGAAUGGUUAAGUUUUCUUUCAUGACAUGUAAGAUAAUUAACACUGGCCUUUUCUGCCUAAUUGAUGAACAGAAAAGUUAAUGAUAUGAUUUCUAUGUCCAUAAAGAGAUGCCAUGAUAUCCUUGUGAUGCUUUCUGCUUCUGAUUCAACAAUUAAUAUGGCGUUUUGUUUGCUGAGUAGAAUCUGGCAGGACUCGAGGAAUCAGUCACGUCACACCAAACAUCCCACUCUACAGCUGUUGAAACCUUAAUCCACGUGUUCAUUGCUGUUUGGACAAUUGAAUUUUUUCUCACCAUUUUUAAUUUUUCAUGUGAAACAGUCAGACCACUUCAAUUGUAUUAGAAGAUAUACCAACCAUAGCCACUCUUUUGAUCUCCCACUGUGGUAGAGUUUGUAGAUGAUCAAUGGUUGCUUAUUUGGCAAAAACAGCUGCAAUGGAGCCUGAUUGGAUUCUUGAAAAUUACAGUUGCUUUUUACCGAAGAUUUGUAUCAAUUGUGAGGCAUGAUAUAAGGUGUCAAGAUUUCGACCUCAAAAAGCAUCAGUUUGAAUGAGCAUGACUGGUUAUAACCGCACUUUCAAGGUCUGCUCAUAAGCUUUAAACAUGUGAUAUUGGCUGGACAAAUCAACCCUGUACAAUUUCUGAAUUGACUGCAAAUUUGUUUUCUUUGCAUAAAUAUUUUGGAGUCCACUGCUAUCCUGGUAGAGAAAGUCUCAAUGGAUAUGAGUUCAGGUUCAUAUGCAUCCGAGUGGGGCAAUCUGUUUUAACAUUUGAAGCAUGUAGCUUGCUGACUCAGUGCCAGGUGUGCAUGCCGAACUGCUCCUUCAGGAAGCCGUUUUGACCCGAGGCACAUCGUCCCAAGAUUUGAUGCAGGAAAAGAAAAUUUAAACUCUUCUAGCAGUUACUCAAUACGUUUGCACAGUGGGGCUCCUGUUUUCCGGUUGGAGUAUUGAUUUCAAGAAGAGGGAGAAUCCUUAUGAGGAAAAUCCAGAAGAAAACAAAGAUAAAGAAGAAAAUUACAUGCCCGUGCAUAAGCAUUCUUUGGUUCUUGAUUAUCCUAACAAGCCUUCAGCGGACUAAUUUCUGGUCAAAAGUUGACUAAACUUAAAAGUGCCAUUAGAGGAAAAAAAUGCGAGUCACCAUGAGUUCUUCAAUGGCUUCUCUAGCAAAGCAGAGAGGUACAUCUCUUGAAGCUCGGGCCCACGGUCAAGCUUCCUUCCCACGACCCACUUCAGCUUGUUGAAGCCGACACUCUCAAUCACUGGUGCAUACACUUUCUCCAACUGAUCACCGGAACAAAAGAAAUGGUCCAGCCAAAACAACCCUCCAGGCCUCAACACUCUGUACACAUCGAACAGCAGGAAAUGCAGGAGUGUUGUUGGGAUCCAGUUACUCAACACGUGCAUUGAGUGCACGAUAUCAAGAGUGUUGUCAAAAAAUGGCAGCCUCUGGGAGAUGCUUAUGUACAGAGGCACAACUCCCCUGGAAGCAAUGAAGCUGUUGAAAGGACCAUUUAGGUUCAUGGAGGUGGUCACAAUGGUUAUGUUCCUCUGCAUCAUCCGGAUGGCGAACGUGGCCACGCCACCGCCUAUGUCUAGCCCAAUCCUGAUCGUCCCUGGUGGUUUUGUUGCCAGGACUUCGUCAAUGGUGAAGUCAAGGCUUCCAUGGCUCUCGGUCGCAGUCCACCGGGACUUCUCCCGCCCCUCAAGGUCAAAGCAGUCCUUGCAGUCGUCAAAGCCUUUCUGCCGGUGCUUCCGGUUGAUGAGGCAGUCAUAGUUCUUGCACGUGUAGGCAGUCCACACCACAGAGUUAUCCAAAGGAGUUGUCCAUAAGCACAUCGGAUGAGGAAAAGGCUCAACAUAGUCGGGAGACGCAGCAGGGCGGCAGCGGCGGCGGGGGAGGGCCUCACAGCCACGUAGGAGUAACUUCUGCGCAAGGUGUUCGUCAUCAGGGCAGGAGCCAUUGACAGCAUACGUCAUGAAGCGGCGGAGAUCAUCUGGGAACCUUGUGCAUCCGUUGCCAACAGGAGGGAAGAUGGUAUCAGAGUCAAAGUUGGAGUUGAAGCCAAAGGGGAGGGACUGGCCUGAUGUGAACGCAAGGAACUCGGGUGGGAGAUCUUCGGUGACACUGGACCGUUUGAAUUCAUCGCGUGAGACUGUGGUGGAGGGAACACUGUUUGUUGAGGUGGUACUACUGGUGGCGUCCAGGACGGAGGAAGUGAGGGAGCAAGAGGGGUAGAAGGUGGUGGAGAGGAAGAAGGUGAGGAGAUUGGUGGAGAGGAGGAGGACGAAGAAGAGAUUGGUGGGGAGAGAGCGGGGCUUGUGAUGGCGAGGUGAGUCCAUCCCCAAUCCGAUGCGUUUGGUGUUUGCAAGUCCCCGCUACUUUUGCACGCCGAUGUUUUCACUCAGAAAUGGACUCCGCAGUGUGUAUGGUCUUUAGCAGUUGCAGGGUUCAAGUGCUGUGUAGUAUGUGGAACAGUAGAAGCAGGCAUCGACUGAAAACUAGAGUUUCGUUUAGGCAGGCAUCGAUGUGAUUUCUUUACGAUAAAAAAUUAGCAAGAGGUGAGUCAUAGUUGUGAGAAGCGAUUAAAGAAAUGGAUGCUUUGGUGAGGGUUAGUAUUGGAAGCUUGUGGAAGGUCAACGGUUGGGAAAUCUCCAUGAAGUUUUGUUGAUCAGACUCUCUGCUCUUCUCAUCUUCUUUGCUGCAGACAUGCAUCCAUUGCUUGCGGAUCUCCUAGUCAA